rnacentral:rRNA from 1 species
GAUGAACGCUGGCGGCGUGCCUAAUACAUGCAAGUCGAGCGAACGGACGAGAUGCUUGCUUUUCUGAUGUUAGCGGCGGACGGGUGAGUAACACGUGGAUAACCUACCUAUAAGACUGGGAUAACUUCGGGAAACCGGAGCUAAUACCGGAUAAUAUUUUGAACCGCAUGGUUCAGAAGUGAAAGACGGUCUUGCUGUCACUUAUAGAUGAAUCCGCGCUGCAUUAGCUAGUUGGUAAGGUAACGGCUUACCAAGGCAACGAUGCAUAGCCGACCUGAGAGGGUGAUCGGCCACACUGGAGCUGAGACACGGUCCAGACUCCUACGGGAGGCAGCAGUAGGGAAUCUUCCGCAAUGGGCGAAAGCCUGACGGAGCAACGCCGCGUGAGUGAUGAAGGUCUUCGGAUCGUAAAACUCUGUUAUUAGGGAAGAACAUAUGUGUAAGUAACUGUGCACAUCUUGACGGUACCUAAUCAGAAAGCCACGGCUAACUACGUG